CCUACGGGAGGCAGCAGUGAGGAAUAUUGGUCAAUGGACGAGAGUCUGAACCAGCCAAGUCGCGUGAAGGAUGACUGCCCUAUGGGUUGUAAACUUCUUUUAUAUGGGAAUAAAAUGUUCCACGUGUGGGUUUUUGUAUGUACCAUAUGAAUAAGGAUCGGCUAACUCCGUGCCAGCAGCCGCGGUAAUACGGAGGAUCCGAGCGUUAUCCGGAUUUAUUGGGUUUAAAGGGAGCGUAGGUGGAUUGUUAAGUCAGUUGUGAAAGUUUGCGGCUCAACCGUAAAAUUGCAGUUGAAACUGGCAGUCUUGAGUACAGUAGAGGUGUGCGGAAUGCGUGGUGUAGCGGUGAAAUGCUUAGAUAUCACGAAGAACUCCGAUUGCGAAGGCAGCUCACUGGACUGCAACUGACACUGAGGCUCGAAAGUGUGGGUAUCAAACAGGAUUAGAUACCCUUGUAGUC
rnacentral:rRNA from 1 species